rnacentral:rRNA from 1 species
AUUGAACUGAAGAGUUUGAUCCUGGCUCAGAUUGAACGCUGGCGGCAUGCUUUACACAUGCAAGUCGAACGGUAACAGGGUGCUUGCACCGCUGACGAGUGGCGAACGGGUGAGUAAUGCAUCGGAAUGUACCGUGUAAUGGGGGAUAGCUCGGCGAAAGCCGGAUUAAUACCGCAUACGCCCUGAGGGGGAAAGUGGGGGACCGAAAGGCCUCACGUUAUACGAGCAGCCGAUGUCUGAUUAGCUAGUUGGUGAGGUAAAGGCUCACCAAGGCGUCGAUCAGUAGCGGGUCUGAGAGGAUGAUCCGCCACACUGGGACUGAGACACGGCCCAGACUCCUACGGGAGGCAGCAGUGGGGAAUUUUGGACAAUGGGCGCAAGCCUGAUCCAGCCAUGCCGCGUGUCUGAAGAAGGCCUUCGGGUUGUAAAGGACUUUUGUCCGGGAGCAAAUCCUAGUGGUUAAUAACCGCUGGGUCUGAGAGUACCGGAAGAAUAA